UACGUAGGUGGCAAGCGUUAUCCGGAUUUAUUGGGCGUAAAGGGAACGCAGGCGGUCUUUUAAGUCUGAUGUGAAAGCCUUCGGCUUAACCGGAGUAGUGCAUUGGGAACUGGGAGACUUGAGUGCAGAAGAGGAGAGUGGAACUCCAUGUGUAGCGGUGAACUGCGUAGAUAUAUGGAAGAACACCAGUGGCGAAAGCGGCUCUCUGGUCUGUAACUGACGCUGAGGUUCGAAAGCGUGGGUAGCAAACAGG
rnacentral:rRNA from 1 species